CGCGGCCUAUCAGCUUGUUGGUGGGGUAGUGGCCUACCAAGGCGACGACGGGUAGCCGGCCUGAGAGGGUGACCGGCCACACUGGGACUGAGACACGGCCCAGACUCCUACGGGAGGCAGCAGUGGGGAAUAUUGCGCAAUGGGCGGAAGCCUGACGCAGCGACGCCGCGUGGGGGAUGACGGCCUUCGGGUUGUAAACCUCUUUCAGCAGGGACGAAGCGGAAGUGACGGUACCUGCAGAAGAAGCACCGGCCAACUACGUGCCAGCAGCCGCGGUAAUACGUAGGGUGCAAGCGUUGUCCGGAAUUAUUGGGCGUAAAGAGCUCGUAGGCGGUUUGUUGCGUCGGCUGUGAAAUCCCGAGGCUCAACCUCGGGUCUGCAGUCGAUACGAGCAAACUAGAGUGUUGCAGGGGAGACUGGAAUUCCUGGUGUAGCGGUGAAAUGCGCAGAUAUCAGGAGGAACACCGGUGGCGAAGGCGGGUCUCUGGGCAACAACUGACGCUGAGGAGCGAAAGCGUGGGGAGCGAACAGGAUUAGAUACCCUGGUAGUCCACGCCGUAAACGUUGGGCGCUAGGUGUGGGGCUCAUUCCACGAGUUCCGUGCCGCAGCUAACGCAUUAAGCGCCCCGCCUGGGGAGUACGG
rnacentral:rRNA from 1 species